AUGCAGAUCCUGCUGCUGUUUGGGAAGGCAACCAGGCUCGGGAUCAACCACGAUAAGUCAACCAUGGCCACAAUCUCGUGCGAGGAGCUGAAUUUGGACGAAAUCCUUGAGAAUUUUGGCGGCAAGCAGGCUGCAUUCCCCGUCAAAUACCUUCGCUUGCCCAUCACUCUAUAUCAAUUGAGAAUGGUUUAGUUGUAGUUCAUCCACGACAGAAUUCGGGCCUGGCUGGCCGGCUGGAAGGGAAGGCUCCUGACAAUCGUGGUUCGUCGGGUCUUGGUCAAGUGCGUGUUAUCUGCUAUGCCAACGUUUUCCAUCACUGCUUUGCGUGCUCCCAUGAAGUUCUUCUAUGAAGUUGAAAAAAUUCGGCGCAAGUUUCUAUGGGCGCACGACGCAGAGCUCACUGGCGGGGUGUGCAAGUUUAACUGGCAACGUGUCUGCUCAUUGAUGGAGUUUGGGGGGCCCGACAUCCACAACCUGGACAAAUUCAGCAGGGUUGUUCGUCUGUGGUGGCUCUGGUUGGCCUGGUCAAGCCCCGACAAGCCCUGGGCGGGCACCAAAACCCCUGUGACAGAUCUGAUGGCCAGCUCUUCGACGACUACACAAAGGUGA
rnacentral:rRNA from 1 species